UGGGGAAUCUUGGGCAAUGGGCGAAAGCCUGACCCAGCAACGCCGCGUGAGGGAUGAAGGCCCUCGGGUCGUAAACCUCUGUCGGGAGGGAAGAAUGAGCCGCAGUCAAAUAAAUUGUGGUUUUGACGGUACCUCCAAAGGAAGUCCCGGCUAACUCCGUGCCAGCAGCCGCGGUAAUACGGAGGGGACAAGCGUUGUUCGGAAUUAUUGGGCGUAAAGCGGGUGUAGGCGGCCAGUUAAGUCGAGUGUGAAAUCCCAGGGCCUAACCCUGGAACUGCAUUCGAAACUGCCUGGCUAGAGUCCCGGAGAGGAUGGCGGAAUUCCCGGUGUAGGGGUGAAAUCCGUAGAUAUCGGGAGGAACACCAGUGGCGAAGGCGGCCAUCUGGACGGUGACUGACGCUCAGACCCGAAAGCGUGGGGAGCAAACAGG
rnacentral:rRNA from 1 species